rnacentral:rRNA from 1 species
UGGGGAAUUUUGGACAAUGGGCGAAAGCCUGAUCCAGCAAUGCCGCGUGUGUGAAGAAGGCCUUCGGGUUGUAAAGCACUUUUGUCCGGAAAGAAAUCCUUGGCUCUAAUACAGUCGGGGGAUGACGGUACCGGAAGAAUAAGCACCGGCUAACUACGUGCCAGCAGCCGCGGUAAUACGUAGGGUGCAAGCGUUAAUCGGAAUUACUGGGCGUAAAGCGUGCGCAGGCGGUUUGCUAAGACCGAUGUGAAAUCCCCGGGCUCAACCUGGGAACUGCAUUGGUGACUGGCAGGCUAGAGUAUGGCAGAGGGGGGUAGAAUUCCACGUGUAGCAGUGAAAUGCGUAGAGAUGUGGAGGAAUACCGAUGGCGAAGGCAGCCCCCUGGGCCAAUACUGACGCUCAUGCACGAAAGCGUGGGGAGCAAACAGGAUUAGAUACCCUGGUAGUCCACGCCCUAAACGAUGUCAACUGGUUGUUGGGAAGGUUCCUUCUCAGUAACGUAGCUAACGCGUGAAGUUGACCGCCUGGGGAGUACGGCCGCAAGGUUGAAACUUAAAUGAAUUGACGGGGUCAUA